rnacentral:lncRNA from 1 species
UAUGAAUAAACUUAUCAAACAUGGCAUCAUCAUCAAUAUCUUCAUCCCUCAGGUUAUAAUCAAAGUCCACAAACUCACUAUCCUCUGAAUCUACAUCACUAUUCUCACUAUCCUUACAACUGUCAUCAUCCAUAUUUUUCACAGCCUCAUCCCCACCUUCUUCCCCAACUUCUUCCACGUCUUCUUCCCCAGCUUCUUCC